GACAGAGGAUGCAAGCGUUACUCGGAAUUACUGGGCGUAAAGCGUGCGUAGGCGGUUUGUUAAGUCUGUCGUGAAAGCCCUGGGCUCAACCUGGGAAUUGCGAUGGAUACUGGCAAGCUAGAGUACGGUAGAGGAUGGUGGAAUUCCCGGUGUAGCGGUGAAAUGCGUAGAGAUCGGGAGGAACACCCGUGGCGAAGGCGGCCAUCUGGACCAGUACUGACGCUGAGGCACGAAGCGUGG
rnacentral:rRNA from 1 species